ensembl:lincRNA
UGCUUGAAAUGAAAACAUUCGAAUCUUCUCCUUAAAAACUUUUCUCUCGGGAAUAAUUCUUUGCAGUGAGAGCAUGCGUGACCAUACCGCGUUCCUCUCUGAAUGUACUGAAUACAAAAACUUGUGAGCAAGUAAUACGAGAGAACAAUGGAUUGGAAGAAUUGGGAGGGUCUUGGUCGGAGUCUUCGAGCCUUUCUAAAAACACGCCUGCCCAUGGUCACUCUGUCACAGUGCAAGGGACAAAGAACUCACGGUCUCGAAGAUCCAGAUGCAGCCCUACCAGGAGGAACCAGGGGAUAUCUGGAGGAAAAUGGCUAUGACAUGUGGUUGACAGCCCGAGAGCCCUGUCUUGUCGAGGAACCCGAAGCAUAGAGAGAGAAGGUAAUUUGAGCAAGAUCGCAUAGACAGCAAGGCCUGGUGUUCAGACUUGAUCCUAAGUGUUCUCUUGCUGCUGUAAUGAGCAGGUUUCCAAACCCUCAGUCUUUUCUGAACCUUGAACUUUCCCUUGUUAUGGGUUAAGGGAAGUAAGAAUCACGGUACAGAUGAGCUCCACCUUCCAGAGUCAGCAAACAGUCAGUCCAGAUUAUCUUGGCGAAUUCCUUUGUUAAGUGUCCAUGGCAGAGGCCAAAAUACCGAUUCUCUGAUAAGUCCAACAUAGCUGAUUUUUCCUCACUUAUUGACAAAGAUCCUUAUUCAAAGCACAGAUGCUGCCAUUCCACUGUCUGCUCCUUUCCUUGAUUGAUCUGGCCAGUGUUUGGAGUCACCAAUACUUUGCUCCAGCUCUGGCUUAGGCUGUGUGGCUAGGCAUGACUUCCACUCUCCAAGCCAGAAACAACCCGCUCCCACCCAGUUGCACAAGCAGAUGGUGGGGACAGGUCCGACUACUGUGGAUUUUUAUUUCAUAGCUAGAUUUCCACCUAAGAGAACAUUCUCGCUAUUCAAAUCUGUACCUUGAGGCACAUCUCGAGGAAAUGCUACUAAUCAGGAAAAAGGUACUGGGGCAGGAGCAGUGCUGGGCCCUGGGACAGCACUGGAACAGCAGAAAAUGGUCAUCCAAACCUUUCCACUAACUGGACUGUCUGCCUCUCAGUGAAGAUCUAUGAGAAUUGAAUGGAAUUGUGUUGGGAAGAGCAGAGUUUUUGCAUUUGAAACUGAUGAAAAAAAUGACAGUGCUGUUGGGUGCCCAGGAUAUGCACUAUUUAUCUGGGCAGCCACUGAAAUACCUGGAUAAUUUUAGAAGCAAGUGUGGUUAAUGGAGGAGCAGAAAGCAUUCCAUUUGUACCACUUCUGCAUUGCCAAUUAUGUUAAAAAAUUUUCUGAAUUAAGAUUACUGGCCAAGUAAAACAGAAACUCUUAACACUGUGAAGAUGAAAUCCUAAACAACACUCAGUUAAUGCUAGAUUAAGUAUCUCUUUGUGAGAAAUCACUAUUACAUUCUUUGCAAGCUGUUUAAAAUUCUUUGGAGUUCCAAGCCAGUACAAGUGAUGCCAAACAUAGACAUCCCUUCUCCCUCCCACGGAAAAAAAAAAAAAAAAAAAGACGGGAGGGAGUACAAAGAAAUGAUCCAUAUAGAGGUAAAUUUUAGAUAGCAAAAGGGAUUGAAGAUACCACAGAAACUAACUUUAAAUAUUGUUUCAAGUUCUAGGCAGUUCAGAGACAAUAGUCAAUAGUUUACAAAUAUGAGCGCUGUAGGUAUCUCUUAAAAGAAUCUAGGGCCAAGAUUAUUCAGGAUAUUUCAGAGGGAAAUAGACCUCCUAUUAGGCUUUCAGGCUCCUACAGAUCCCUUCUACCUGAAGAUUACAGACAAAACAAUUCUGAUGUAUUUUUUUAUUGAGGUGGUGUAUACUUCGCAAACAAAAAAAUGCACUCAUUUUUAAGUGCACCAGUCAAUGAAUUUGGACAGCUUGUGCACCAGCGUACCCAUCCAAACAAACUAGAUAUUCCCACUGGCCUAGAAAGUCUCCUUAUGUCCCUUCUCAGUGCAGGUUCCCCGCACAAGUGGCGGUGUCUCCUCCAUCCCAUUUCUAUCACCAUAGACUCAUUUUGCCUGCUCUAGAACCUGACCAAGUUGGAACUUGACAGUUAAGCAUCUCUGUUCAUUUGGCUUCUUUCACUCGGCAUGGUGGUUUUGAGAUUUGUCCACGUUCCUUAAUCCUUGCAGCCUUACCCUGUUGUAGAUAG